rnacentral:ncRNA from 1 species
AGACCUCAGGCUAGGCGGGGCUCCCCGCUAAGUUUAAGCAUAUCAAUAAGCGGAGGAAAAGAAACUAACAAGGAUUCCCUUAGUAACGACGAGCGAACCGGGAAGAGCCCACCAUGAAAAUCGGUUGUCUUUGGCAUCCAAAUUAUAGUCUGGAGAAGCGUCCUCAGUGGCAGACCGAGCCCAAGUCCCCUAGAAGGGGGCGCUAGAAAGGGUGAGAGCCCCAUCGUGCUCGGACCCUGUCACACCAUUAGGCACUGUCGUCAAGUCGGGUUGUUGGGGGAAUGCAACCCCAAUCGGGCAGUAAAUUAUGUCGAAGGCUAAAUACUGGCCAGAGACCGAUAGCGAACAAUUACCGUGAGGGAAAUAUGAAAAGGACUUUGAAAAGAGAGUCAAAGAGUGCUUGAAAUUGUUGAGAGGGAAGCCGAUGGGGGUCGGCGGUAUGUCUCAGUCGAAUGUGGAAUGGUGUUAGCCAAUCUGCCGAUCGACUCGGGGCAUUGGCCGAUGCGGAUUGUGAUGGUGGCCCAAGCCCGGGUUGUCAAAAUGCUCGUGGAGAUGUUAUCAUCAUGAUUGUGGACGGCAGCAUGCGCCUUUGUGGCGUGCUUUGACACUUGCAUGCUCCGUGCAUCGGCCUGUGGGCUCCCCAUUCAGCUCGUCUUGAAACACGAACCAAGGAGUCUGACAUGUGUGCGAGUCAACGGGUGAGUAAACCUGUAAGGCACAAGGAAGCUGAUUGGUGGGAUCCCCUUGUGGGUUGCACUGUCGAUCGACCCUGAUCUUCUGUGAAGGGUUCGAGUGAGAGCAUACCUGUUGGGACCCGAAAGAUGGUGAACUAUGCCUGAGCGGGGCAAAGCUAGAGGAAACUCUAGGGGAGGCCCGCAGCGAUAUUGACGUGCAAAUCAUUCUUCUGACUUGGGUAUAGGGGCGAAAGACUAAUCGAACCGUCUAGUAGCUGGUUCCCUCCAAAGUUUCCCUCAGGAUAGUUGGAGCCUACGGGCGAGUUCUAUUGGGUAAAUCCAAUGAUUAGAGGCAUCGGGGGCGCAAUGCCCUCGACCUAUUCUCAAACUUUAAAUAGGUAGGACGGUGUGGCUUCUUUGUUGAGCCACUCAACGAAAUCGAGAGCUCCAAGUGGUCCAUUUUUGGUAAGCAGAAUUGGCGAUGCGAGAUGAACUAGAAGCUGGGUUACGGUGCCCAACUACGCGCUAACCGAGACCCCACAAAGGGUUUUUGGUCGAUUAAGACACUAGAACGGUGGUGAUGGAAGUCGAAAUCCGUUAAGGAGUCUGUAAUAACUCACCUGCCGAAUCAACUAGCCCCAAAAAUGGAUGGCGCUAAAGCGCACGACCUAUACCUAGCGGUCGAGGCAAAAGCCAAGCCUCGAUGAGUAGGAGGGCGCGACGUUCGUUGUAAAACCUGGAGCGUUAGCCCGGGCAGAGCGUUCGUCAGUGUAGAUCUUGGUGGUAGUAGAAAAUAUUCAAAUGAGAACCUUGAAGGCCUGUCACAACCCAAAAGU